GUUCUCUCCUGUGGCUCAGUAACGCUAAGCUACACUGAGAUGAGGAUAUCUGGUGGCUCACGGAGCCAAAGAGUCGACAUCCCAUCACAUGGGACCAGUUACACCAGCAAAACAAACUCAAGAAUCAUUGACUGCACCUUUCACAUUAGAAUAAAUACAAAAGUAAAGAUUGGACAGUUGACAUCUGCCCUCAUAUAGCUGCUGUUAUUUAGAGCUGUAAAAAAUUAAUAAAUAGAUAAAGAGAGACAUGAAAAAAAGGCUUUUAAAAAUGCAAAUGAAUUACUAACUGGAAUAAUUCUGUGACAUUUUUCUCAGUUCCAGCCAGGUUACAUGUUAAGACUUUAUUAUCCUUACACCCUCGAACAUAUUCCACUGUAGUUGCAGAAGGACAAGCCUAAAGGAUUCACGUUUUGGACACCCUUGGUCAGUUGCACCUUCAGGAAUGCCAACAUCAUCUGUAAAUUUAAUGACAACGGUCUUUGAAGAUACACGUCUGAGGGACAGGUCCAGGAUAGGCACCUGGCUUCCCUGCACUUCAGCCAUCCUCAGAGAUUAUAUCUGCAGAAUAAUAGCCAAUGGUUACGUCGUGUUAAGGCAGGGGUGUCCAAACUCAGUCCUGGAGGGCCACUGUCCUGCAGAGUUUUGCUCCAACUUGCCUCAACUCACCUGUCUGGAAGUUUCUAAUAUGCCUAUUUAGAGCUUGAUCAGCUGGUUCAGGUGUGUUUAAUUGGGGUUGAACUCUGCAGGAGCGAGUAUGGAGACCCCUUUGUUACGGGUAAGUAAUUUAUGGUUGAGGUUUUUUUUUGUUUUUUACUAAUUUAAUAUUAUUGUUUCUAGUAAUUGAAAAAAUUAAACCUUUGUAAACAAAUUUGAUUCUUCAUUUUCAUCUUCAUGUAAGCACCCAGUAAUGGCAUUAAAAUAACUCACUUUUUCCACUUGCCCUUGAAGAGUCCAGUAGUGUCCUCGGGAGAAGAUGUCUUCCUCUCCUCUGUCAGGGUGUGAGGGAGGACACAGGGCCUGUUUAGCAGCCUUUUCCUCAUCUUCAAUAAGGGCCAGUGCUGUUGCAAUGAAUUUACUAGAUGACCGGCCAAAAUAUACAUUCUGGCGGUCAUAUCUCUUACUAAUUAAGUUUUUCAGAAAAUAUGAAACACCCUCUUCAAACUCUAGUGUGUCGUUGUUGUUUGAAGAUAAGUAUACGUGUUUUCCAUCAGUAAGGGCACUUGUUGACCUAACCUUCAAUGAAGAAAUUUGAAUAUUUGUGCCAUCUCUUACAAAGGUGACCGCUAAUAAAACUGUAUGUGACUGAAGUAUAGCAGCACUCACUGUCAGGUUGUCUUCUGUUAUUUUAUACUUCUAUAUUACUUCACUUUUACAUAACAUAAUAAGAACAUAUCACUUAAAUGCAGGCAAAAUGCAUUACCAGCACAAUGAAAUAGAAAAAAAAAAACAUUUAUUAACACAGAAGGUAAAACAGACACUGAAUAAAGUAGGGAAACUUUGAACACGAAACAUAAGGAAAACCAAAUUGGGAGCACAUCGUAAGCACACUGACUAAUUACUAACAAAAUAAACCACAGGAGAUUCAAAAUUAAUUAAAACUUCCACAUAGAAUUAAAUGAUCAAUCACACAUUCAUUUUUUUUUUUACACUGCACUGCACUAGAUCAUGCUCACAACACACUCAAAUCAGGUCAGCACAGAUUUGGCAGAACUCGCUGCAGAAGUCUAGGUGGGUGUCCUCACUAAAAAUUCCCACAAGUUCUCCCCUUCUUCCUCUACCUACAUAUCCUACAGGUUAGCAAAGAAAGGAAAUAUUUCAAUGUUCAUUGUUUUUGUUGUGUUUUAAUUCAUCAUUGAAAGCAAAACACCCCAUGGAAACAACCAACAAUGAAUUCAUUCCUGGAGUGCAGUUUUUGAAAAUGUCUCCAUAUUGCCUACAAGUUUCCAGUCUGUACAUUUUAUAGUACUCUGUCUUGUAGGAUGUGGAGAACACAGUCCAAUUUGUACACAUGUAAAAUCACACAGAUUAAAAAAUCAGUUCACUUUUUUAAAUCAUACAAAAGAAUAGAGUCAUAAUAUUAUAUUCAUAAUAAUUAAAUGAUUAUGUAUUUCCAUGCAGCAAGAGUGAUAGGGAACGCGUUGCACUCUGCCAGUCACCAGCCCACCAGAAUCAGACUGGCAGCUGCCACCAGGUCACGUGACCUGUCAGUGGCUGCUCCUGCCAGCCAGCUGAAGAUUGAACCCCUACUGAAAUAGUUAGCAUUCAGUAGUAUAUUGCACAGCAAAAUCCCCCGAGUUAAAUCAACUCUGCUCAGAGUACAUAUGGUCCCCCUUUAAAUAGUUAAAGUAACACUGAAGCAGAGUUAAAGUUAAUGCAAUAAUAAUGCAAUUAAGUGAUGAUUGUGCAGUAGUGAUGAACACCUGCUGUUAACAAGCAGAAUCACUGAAGAAAAAAGAGACACAGGAACUACAACUGACUUCAGUCACAGCCUUAUUAAUUGCUUAAUCAUCACAUUAACUUUAACUCUGCUGCAGUGUUACUUUAACACUAUUUAGAGAGGGACCAUAUGUACUCUGAGCAGAGUUGAUUUAACUUGGGGGAUAUUACUGUGUGCAUGCAUGGUUGUGUGCAGUGAAAUGCAAUUAACCCUUACUGUCAAGCCAAAGAAUAUGGGCUCGUCUCCUGAAGGCUUCCUGUGUCACAAGGUCUCUGAAGCAAGUGCACACAAGGGCCAGCGUCAGACAAGGGGCCUUGUCGCCUUCCUGGAGAACCACAUCAAUGAAAAUGUCCUCCAGAACAGAUGCUGGCAACUGUAAGCAAAUGAACAAAAAUGAGAAAUAUGAAAGAAAAGAUAAUGGCCCCAAUGCCCAGUUCUUGAAAUGAUCUAUUUGUCUUUGUUCUUGGUAUAACAGUAUCUCACAGAAGUGAGUACACCCCUCACAUUUUUGUAAAUAUUUUAUUAUAUCUUUUCAUGUGACAACACUGAAGAAAUGACACUUUGCUACAAUGUAAAGUAGUGAGUGUACAGCUUGUAUAACAGUGUAAAUUCCCCUCAAAAUAACUCAGCACACAGCCAUUAAUGUCUAAACCGCUGGCCACAAAAGUGAGUACACCCCUAAGUGAAAAUGUCCAAAUGUGGCCCAAAGUGUCAAUAUUUUGUGUGGCCACCAUUAUUUGACAUAUGUCUCUAUGGCUCUGUUCUGGAGGAGUGUGGUAUAUAAAGUGGGAGGAGUUGGAUCUAGAUCUCAUGUUCUGCAGCGAGGACCAUCUCGUCUCGGACACAGCUAAUGAGAUUCUGCUGUCUUUUGGAGCCUGUUCCUAGCGGCCAGUCGAUGAAUUGCGGUUUAAGUCACUUACAUAUUGGCUUCACGAGAAACUGGGGGAGGUUGCUGCUUGGUUUUCACUUUUCCAGUCGGGAUGAAAAUGGCGACUUCAAAUUUCCUGGGGGUGCCAAAACACGGAAGAGUGCCACGAGAGAGUUAGUGGCUGAAAGAAUAUUGCAUCCGUAGUGGUUUAGCACUACCAUAGAGAAUAGCCCUGUCCAAAUACCAAUGCUGCGUCCCAAUUCGCCUACAUCUACUAUGCCCUAAAAAUAUGUACUCUUUCUGUGAACAAAAAUACUUUUGAAUCUUCAACUUCUACUGCUUUGUCGGACAAAAUGGUGGAUUCUGCAUUAUGAUUGGUUAGAUUGCCUGUCAAUCAAACUCUUGGCGAAGGGUCAAUUCAAUUAAAUAACACAGUGUGCACCGUUUCAUCAGAUUUGUAAGGUAAAUCAUUUAUAAACCUAUGCCAAAAUAGGUUUAAGUUUCUAAUCAGUAUAUCAAUGUAGACUUUAUAUGUUCAGCGCAAUUUCAAAAUAAAAGUUUAAACCCUCA